UAUAUAGACUUAUUAUUCUACUGUAUUAUUGACUGUAUGUUUGUUUUACUCAAUGUGUAACUCUGUUGUUGUAUGUGUCAAACUGCUUUGCUUUAUCUUGGCCAGGUCGCAAUUGUAAAUGAGAACUUUGUUCUCAACUUGCCUACCUGGUUAAAUAAAGCACCAUUCUCACUUAACGCAGCAAUUUAAGGCGAGUUGCAGUAGAGAGAAUUUCGAUAUCAAAAAUGAAAGCAAAAUUGUAAAAUCAAUAUCCGACAAAGCAACAUGAAAAGAAGAAAAAACUGUGGCGGGACAACUCCACAGGAAUUACAGAAAAAAGAAACUGCUAAAAGCUGUAAUGACAUAACACCAUCAAGCGAGGAAAAUGAUACACUUCAACAUGUUCAAGAAGCAAAUUAAGAAGAUGCAGCCUCCCCAAGAGAACAGCCAUUCUCACCUCAGCAGGUAAAUGUCCUGCCAUCAACUCCUAAAAGAAGAGAGACAUCUCUACAGACACCAGGACCAAGGAAGACAUCUACCCCAAAGGAAUCACCCAAAAAGAGGAACAGAAGAAAGAAAACACUAUCAAAAUUUUGGGCAAAGUUGCACUACACAGAAGAGAAGCUUCUGGAGAGGACCAAAGAGAUGGUCAAUCCAAAGAAAAGACUGAAAAGACUUGAGAUGAUGGCCAAGAGGAAGCAGGUAAUUGUCAACAUGGAAGGCAAAGAGGUGUCAUCAGAGAACAUUACAGCCGGAGAAGACUAAUGCACACACUUGUUAGCCGCUUCCUUCAUCGAGAUGAAGUCAACACUAAUAAAUGGGUAAUCUGGAGAACUUUGGAAAAAGGGACAGUUAUUCCAUAAGAGAGCCUUAAUAACGGACGCUAUGGCAUAUCUUCAUAGAAGAUUUCUGUCUGAGAAUCCAAGGCACAACCUUUCCAAGGCUCAAUUCUUUAAACGAGUCACAGACAGAGAAACAUGUGCUUGCAAAAGGCAUGGAAACUUUGGCUUGAAGAUAAAGAAGCUGCACCAGCUUGGGGUCAUAGAAACAUCAUCCCCAGGCCAGUGUCUGUAGUGACGAUGACAUGUCCUGCUCUGUUUUUGGAUGUUUUCAGCCUAUGUAUGUUAUGUACUUUUGAAGCACUGCAAAAUGAAUUUGAUUGAACUUGAAUCCAUGAUUGUGCCAAUCUCUCAUUUAUUUUCUACAUUAAAUGUCAUGUUUUUAAUCAUACCUCAGUCUUAGUAUACUUAUUAUCAUUACAGAAAUUGUC
rnacentral:lncRNA from 1 species